AUUGAACGCUGGCGGCAGGCCUAACACAUGCAAGUCGAACGAGUGGCGGACGGGUGAGCAAUGUCUGUGAAACUGCCCGAUGGAGGGGGAUAACUACUUGAAACGCUAGCUAAUACCGCAUACUCUCGGAUGUGUCCAGAUGGGAUUAGCUGGUUGGUGGGGUAACGGCUCACCUAGGCGACGAUCCCUAGCUGGUCUGAGAGGUUGACCAGCCACACUGGAACUGAGACACGGUCCAGACUCCUACGGGAGGCAGCAGUGGGGAAUAUUGCACAAUGGGCGCAAGCCUGAUGCAGCCAUGCCGCGUGUAUGAAGAAGGCCUUCGGGUUGUAAAGUACUUUCAGCGGGGAGGCGUUACCCGCAGAAGAAGCACCGGCUAACUCCGUGCCAGCAGCCGCGGUAAUAC
rnacentral:rRNA from 1 species